GAUGAACGCUGGCGGCGUGCCUAAUACAUGCAAGUCGAGCGAAUGGAUUGAGAGCUUGCUCGUAUGAAGUUAGCGGCGGACGGGUGAGUAACACGUGGGUAACCUGCCCAUAAGACUGGGAUAAAUCCGGGAAACCGGUGCUAAUACCGGAUAACACUUUGAACCGCAUGGUUCGAAACUUAAAGGCGGCUUCGGCUGUCUCUUAUGGAUUGACCCGCGUCGCAUUAGCUAGUUGGUGAGGUACCGGCUCACCAAGGCAACGAUGCGUAGCGGACCUGAGAAGGUGAUCGGCCACACUGGGACGGAGACACGGCCCAGACUCCUACGGGAGGCAGCAGUAGGGAAUCUUCCGCAAUGGACGAAAGUCUGACGGAGCAACGCCGCGUGAGUGAUGAAGGCUUUCGGGUCGUAAAACUCUGUUGUUAGGGAAGAACAAGUGCUAGUUGAAUAAGCUGGCACCUUGACGGUACCUAACCAGAAAGCCACGGCUAACUACGUGCCAGCCGCCGCGGUAA
rnacentral:rRNA from 1 species